rnacentral:rRNA from 1 species
GGGUUGUGAGGUUAAGCGACUAAGCGUACACGGUGGAUGCCCUGGCAGUCAGAGGCGAUGAAGGACGUGCUAAUCUGCGAUAAGCGUCGGUAAGGUGAUAUGAACCGUUAUAACCGGCGAUUUCCGAAUGGGGAAACCCAGUGUGUUUCGACACACUAUCAUUAACUGAAUCCAUAGGUUAAUGAGGCGAACCGGGGGAACUGAAACAUCUAAGUACCCCGAGGAAAAGAAAUCAACCGAGAUUCCCCCAGUAGCGGCGAGCGAACGGGGAGCAGCCCAGAGCCUGAAUCAGUGUGUGUGUUAGUGGAAGCGUCUGGAAAGGCGCGCGAUACAGGGUGACAGCCCCGUACACAAAAAUGCACAUGCUGUGAGCUCGAUGAGUAGGGCGGGACACGUGGUAUCCUGUCUGAAUAUGGGGGGACCAUCCUCCAAGGCUAAAUACUCCUGACUGACCGAUAGUGAACCAGUACCGUGAGGGAAAGGCGAAAAGAACCCCGGCGAGGGGAGUGAAAAAGAACCUGAAACCGUGUACGUACAAGCAGUGGGAGCACGCUUAGGCGUGUGACUGCGUACCUUUUGUAUAAUGGGUCAGCGACUUAUAUUCUGUAGCAAGGUUAACCGAAUAGGGGAGCCGAAGGGAAACCGAGUCUUAACUGGGCGUUAAGUUGCAGGGUAUAGACCCGAAACCCGGUGAUCUAGCCAUGGGCAGGUUGAAGGUUGGGUAACACUAACUGGAGGACCGAACCGACUAAUGUUGAAAAAUUAGCGGAUGACUUGUGGCUGGGGGUGAAAGGCCAAUCAAACCGGGAGAUAGCUGGUUCUCCCCGAAAGCUAUUUAGGUAGCGCCUCGUGAAUUCAUCUCCGGGGGUAGAGCACUGUUUCGGCAAGGGGGUCAUCCCGACUUACCAACCCGAUGCAAACUGCGAAUACCGGAGAAUGUUAUCACGGGAGACACACGGCGGGUGCUAACGUCCGUCGUGAAGAGGGAAACAACCCAGACCGCCAGCUAAGGUCCCAAAGUCAUGGUUAAGUGGGAAACGAUGUGGGAAGGCCCAGACAGCCAGGAUGUUGGCUUAGAAGCAGCCAUCAUUUAAAGAAAGCGUAAUAGCUCACUGGUCGAGUCGGCCUGCGCGGAAGAUGUAACGGGGCUAAACCAUGCACCGAAGCUGCGGCAGCGACGCUUAUGCGUUGUUGGGUAGGGGAGCGUUCUGUAAGCCUGUGAAGGUGUGCUGUGAGGCAUGCUGGAGGUAUCAGAAGUGCGAAUGCUGACAUAAGUAACGAUAAAGCGGGUGAAAAGCCCGCUCGCCGGAAGACCAAGGGUUCCUGUCCAACGUUAAUCGGGGCAGGGUGAGUCGACCCCUAAGGCGAGGCCGAAAGGCGUAGUCGAUGGGAAACAGGUUAAUAUUCCUGUACUUGGUGUUACUGCGAAGGGGGGACGGAGAAGGCUAUGUUGGCCGGGCGACGGUUGUCCCGGUUUAAGCGUGUAGGCUGGUUUUCCAGGCAAAUCCGGAAAAUCAAGGCUGAGGCGUGAUGACGAGGCACUACGGUGCUGAAGCAACAAAUGCCCUGCUUCCAGGAAAAGCCUCUAAGCAUCAGGUAACAUCAAAUCGUACCCCAAACCGACACAGGUGGUCAGGUAGAGAAUACCAAGGCGCUUGAGAGAACUCGGGUGAAGGAACUAGGCAAAAUGGUGCCGUAACUUCGGGAGAAGGCACGCUGAUAUGUAGGUGAAGUCCCUCGCGGAUGGAGCUGAAAUCAGUCGAAGAUACCAGCUGGCUGCAACUGUUUAUUAAAAACACAGCACUGUGCAAACACGAAAGUGGACGUAUACGGUGUGACGCCUGCCCGGUGCCGGAAGGUUAAUUGAUGGGGUUAGCGCAAGCGAAGCUCUUGAUCGAAGCCCCGGUAAACGGCGGCCGUAACUAUAACGGUCCUAAGGUAGCGAAAUUCCUUGUCGGGUAAGUUCCGACCUGCACGAAUGGCGUAAUGAUGGCCAGGCUGUCUCCACCCGAGACUCAGUGAAAUUGAACUCGCUGUGAAGAUGCAGUGUACCCGCGGCAAGACGGAAAGACCCCGUGAACCUUUACUAUAGCUUGACACUGAACAUUGAGCCUUGAUGUGUAGGAUAGGUGGGAGGCUUUGAAGUGUGGACGCCAGUCUGCAUGGAGCCGACCUUGAAAUACCACCCUUUAAUGUUUGAUGUUCUAACGUUGACCCGUAAUCCGGGUUGCGGACAGUGUCUGGUGGGUAGUUUGACUGGGGCGGUCUCCUCCUAAAGAGUAACGGAGGAGCACGAAGGUUGGCUAAUCCUGGUCGGACAUCAGGAGGUUAGUGCAAUGGCAUAAGCCAGCUUGACUGCGAGCGUGACGGCGCGAGCAGGUGCGAAAGCAGGUCAUAGUGAUCCGGUGGUUCUGAAUGGAAGGGCCAUCGCUCAACGGAUAAAAGGUACUCCGGGGAUAACAGGCUGAUACCGCCCAAGAGUUCAUAUCGACGGCGGUGUUUGGCACCUCGAUGUCGGCUCAUCACAUCCUGGGGCUGAAGUAGGUCCCAAGGGUAUGGCUGUUCGCCAUUUAAAGUGGUACGCGAGCUGGGUUUAGAACGUCGUGAGACAGUUCGGUCCCUAUCUGCCGUGGGCGCUGGAGAACUGAGGGGGGCUGCUCCUAGUACGAGAGGACCGGAGUGGACGCAUCACUGGUGUUCGGGUUGUCAUGCCAAUGGCACUGCCCGGUAGCUAAAUGCGGAAGAGAUAAGUGCUGAAAGCAUCUAAGCACGAAACUUGCCCCGAGAUGAGUUCUCCCUGAC